CAAAUAUCGUUCUGCCGGUGGAGAAGAAUUAUGUAAUGUAUAUGGAGGAAAGGAAAUCGAGGGAGUCGAUAGAAGAAGCAACGCUGGAGAAUAUAGCCAAGUCGCAGGAAAAGCAUAAGGUAGCAUAUGCGAAGAGAAUGCAGAAGAAACACAGGGAUUUACACUAGUGUUGGCAGCAAAGUUCUCCUUUACAAUAUGAGGAAACGUGGUAGAAAAGGAGGAAGGAUUGAGCUUGACUUCCUAGGCACUUAUAUCAUCAAGGAGCUGUGUGGCAAUAUGGUUAAAUUGGCAAAUCCUGACAAUGUUACCCUGAAGAACAAGAUUGACAUUAA